UCAUUUUGCAACAUUGACUGGUAUUGACAUUGAUGCAAGAUUUGUCGGCUGUCUCGGAACCAAAGGGAAGAAGAUUCUUCAUUUCUUCCAGAGUCAGCUUGCAAGGUGGAACAAAGAAGUCAGAAAAGUCUUGCAGGACAUAGAAAAGGCUGGCUGUGACAAAGUCAACCAUGGUGUGGCAUGCACUCUCACCACAAUGGCAUUCUUCAAAGAUGAUGUUGAUGCUCUGUUUCUUCCAGCAGAUGUGACCACAACUGCAGCAGACAUAAACCGCAGUCUCUCUGCUCCUAGCACCCCGAGGCUGAUUGCUCUCGGGGAUUCCGUUCUCAAGGCCAAUCGUUGGAUGCUCACCGUCGAUGGCAAGGUAAUCAUCGGACCCCAGGAGCUGCCAGACUUUGAUUCUGCUU